rnacentral:rRNA from 2 species
AUGGUUAAGUUAGAAAGGGCGCACGGUGAAUGCCUUGGCACUAGGAGCCGAUGAAGGACGGGACUAACACCGAUAUGCUUCGGGGAGCUGUAAGUGAGCUUUGAUCCGGAGAUUUCCGAAUGGGGAAACCCACUGUUCGUAAUGGAACAGUAUCUUUAUCUGAAUACAUAGGAUAUUGAAGGCAGACCCGGGGAACUGAAACAUCUAAGUACCCGGAGGAAGAGAAAGCAAAUGCGAUUUCCUGAGUAGCGGCGAGCGAAACGGAAUUAGCCCAAACCAAGAGGCUUGCCUCUUGGGGUUGUAGGACACUCUAUACGGAGUUACAAAGGAACGAAGUAAAUGAAGCGACCUGGAAAGGUCCGUCGAAGAAGGUAACAACCCUGUAGUUGAAACUUCGUUCCCUCUUGAGUGGAUCCUGAGUACGGCGGAACACGUGAAAUUCCGUCGGAAGCUGGGAGGACCAUCUCCCAAGGCUAAAUACUACCUAGUGACCGAUAGUGAACCAGUACCGUGAGGGAAAGGUGAAAAGCACCCCGGAAGGGGAGUGAAAGAGAUCCUGAAACCGUGUGCCUACAAGUAGUCAGAGCCCGUUAACGGGUGAUGGCGUGCCUUUUGUAGAAUGAACCGGCGAGUUACGAUCCCAUGCAAGGUUAAGCUGAUAAGGCGGAGCCGUAGCGAAAGCGAGUCUGAAUAGGGCGUUUAGUAUGUGGUUGUAGACCCGAAACCAGGUGAUCUACCCAUGUCCAGGGUGAAGUUCAGGUAACACUGAAUGGAGGCCCGAACCCACGCACGUUGAAAAGUGCGGGGAUGAGGUGUGGGUAGCGGAGAAAUUCCAAUCGAACCUGGAGAUAGCUGGUUCUCUCCGAAAUAGCUUUAGGGCUAGCCUCAUGUUGUGAGAGUCUUGGAGGUAGAGCACUGAUUGGACUAGGGGCCCCCAACGGGUUACCGAAUUCAGUCAAACUCCGAAUGCCAAAGACUUAUCCAUGGGAGUCAGACUGCGAGUGAUAAGAUCCGUAGUCAAAAGGGAAACAGCCCAGACCACCAGCUAAGGUCCCCAAGUAUACGUUAAGUGGAAAAGGAUGUGGAGUUGCUUAGACAACCAGGAUGUUGGCUUAGAAGCAGCCACCAUUUAAAGAGUGCGUAAUAGCUCACUGGUCGAGUGACUCUGCGCCGAAAAUGUACCGGGGCUAAACGUAUCACCGAAGCUGUGGAUUGACAUCUUUGAUGUCAGUGGUAGGAGAGCGUUCUAAGUGCAGCGAAGUCAGACCGUAAGGACUGGUGGAGCGCUUAGAAGUGAGAAUGCCGGUAUGAGUAGCGAAAGACAAGUGAGAAUCUUGUCCACCGAAUGCCUAAGGUUUCCUGAGGAAGGCUCGUCCGCUCAGGGUUAGUCGGGACCUAAGCCGAGGCUGAAAAGCGUAGGCGAUGGCCAACAGGUUGAUAUUCCUGUACCACCUCCCCGCCGUUUGAGUAAUGGGGGGACGCAGUAGGAUAGGGUAAGCGCGCUGCUGGAUAUGCGCGUUCAAGCAGUUAGGCUGAUGAGUAGGCAAAUCCGCUCAUCAUGAAGGCUGAGCUGUGAUGACGAGGGAAUUAUAGUACCGAAGUUCCUGAUUCCACACUGCCAAGAAAAGCCUCUAGCGAGGCGGGAGGUGCCCGUACCGCAAACCGACACAGGUAGGCGAGGAGAGAAUCCUAAGGUGAUCGAGAGAACUCUCGUUAAGGAACUCGGCAAAAUGACCCCGUAACUUCGGGAGAAGGGGUGCUCUGGUAGGGUGUAUAGCCCGAGAGAGCCGCAGUGAAUAGGCCCAGGCGACUGUUUAGCAAAAACACAGGUCUCUGCGAAGCCGCAAGGCGAAGUAUAGGGGCUGACGCCUGCCCGGUGCUGGAAGGUUAAGAGGAGGGGUUAUCCUUCGGGAGAAGCUCUGAAUCGAAGCCCCAGUAAACGGCGGCCGUAACUAUAACGGUCCUAAGGUAGCGAAAUUCCUUGUCGGGUAAGUUCCGACCCGCACGAAAGGCGUAACGAUCUGGGCACUGUCUCAACGAGAGACUCGGUGAAAUUAUAGUACCUGUGAAGAUGCAGGUUACCCGCGACAGGACGGAAAGACCCCGUGGAGCUUUACUGUAGCCUGAUAUUGAAUUUUGGUACAGCUUGUACAGGAUAGGUAGGAGCCUGAGAAGCCGGAGCGCUAGCUUCGGUGGAGGCGUCGGUGGGAUACUACCCUGGCUGUAUUGAAAUUCUAACCCGCGGCCCUGAUCGGGCCGGGAGACAGUGUCAGGUGGGCAGUUUGACUGGGGCGGUCGCCUCCUAAAAUGUAACGGAGGCGCCCAAAGGUUCCCUCAGAAUGGUUGGAAAUCAUUCGUAGAGUGUAAAGGCACAAGGGAGCUUGACUGCGAGACCUACAAGUCGAGCAGGGACGAAAGUCGGGCUUAGUGAUCCGGUGGUUCCGCAUGGAAGGGCCAUCGCUCAACGGAUAAAAGCUACCCCGGGGAUAACAGGCUUAUCUCCCCCAAGAGUCCACAUCGACGGGGAGGUUUGGCACCUCGAUGUCGGCUCAUCGCAUCCUGGGGCUGUAGUCGGUCCCAAGGGUUGGGCUGUUCGCCCAUUAAAGCGGUACGCGAGCUGGGUUCAGAACGUCGUGAGACAGUUCGGUCCCUAUCCGUCGUGGGCGUAGGAAAUUUGAGAGGAGCUGUCCUUAGUACGAGAGGACCGGGAUGGACACACCGCUGGUGUACCAGUUGUCUUGCCAAAGGCAUCGCUGGGUAGCUAUGUGUGGACGGGAUAAGUGCUGAAAGCAUCUAAGCAUGAAGCCCCCCUCAAGAUGAGAUUUCCCAUAGCGCAAGCUAGUAAGAUCCCUGAAAGAUGAUCAGGUUGAUAGGUCAGAGGUGGAAGCGUGGCGACAUGUGUAGCUGACUGAUACUAAUCGAUCGAGGACUUAACCAAAC